AUACCAUGAUGAGGACACCUGCUGAGCAAUUCCUUGAAUCUUUCCCUAGUCUCGUACAAACUUUUAUCUUCAAGUUGAUGGAAAGAAGUAAUCUUAUUCCGCAACUU
rnacentral:snoRNA from 1 species